rnacentral:rRNA from 1 species
CCUACGGGUGGCACCAGUGGGGAAUAUUGGACAAUGGGCGAAAGCCUGGUCCAGCAAUGCCGCGUGUGUGAAGAAGGUCUUCGGAUUGUAAAGCACUUUCGACGGGGACGAUGAUGACGGUACCCGUAGAAGAAGCCCCGGCUAACUUCGUGCCAGCAGCCGCGGUAAUACGAAGGGGGCUAGCGUUGCUCGGAAUGACUGGGCGUAAAGGGCGCGUAGGCGGUUUAUGCAGUCAGAUGUGAAAUCCCCGGGCUUAACCUGGGAACUGCAUUUGAGUCGCAUAGACUAGAGGUCGAGAGAGGGUUGUGGAAUUCCCAGCGUGGAGGUGAAAUUCGUAGAUAUUGGGGAGAACACCGGUGGCGAAGGCGGCAACCUGGCUCGAUACUGACGCUGAGGCACGAAAGCGUGGGGAGCAAACAGGAUUAGAUACCCUGGUAGUC